rnacentral:lncRNA from 1 species
CCGCGCGCGCGGGCUUUGGGGACGUGUCGUUUCCGGCCUCCAGCGUGAAGCCGACUGUGGGCUCUGGAAUAGUCGGCGGUUGUGUGUCCUGGUGCUCGAAGCUUAGCCGGGCGACGCUUCGGGAGAGAGGCAGAACCAGCCUCCCAGAGUUGUGGGCUCGGCUGGAUCGCGACUCCGCCAUUAACCCCUCCGCCAACGUCCCCGCUUGUCGUCCUCCCUCGGGCCCUGGUCAGCCUCCCCAGGGCCUGCAGCCUUUGACGCACUUCGAGGUGGAGACCUGGCCUUGGAAAGUACCCGGGGAGCCACUCCGUAGCCUGUGCAAUGAGGAUGGACCCUCCUCACUCGGACCCAUGCUGGCCAUGCUGAAUGGCCCCGCAAAUUCUCGCGAGCUGCGAGGGAAGCAUUGUUGAUCCUCUUGAGAACAUCAGACAGGAUAUUCAUCCGCACCUUGACGACGGCACCAAAGGAUGGUGGAAAGAGAG